rnacentral:rRNA from 1 species
GUGAACGCUGGCGGUAGGCCUAACCCAUGCCAGUCGAACGGCAGCACAGUAAGAGCUUGCUCUUACGGGUGGCGAGUGGCGGACGGGUGAGGAAUACAUCGGAAUCUACUUUUUCGUGGGGGAUAACGUAGGGAAACUUACGCUAAUACCGCAUACGACCUACGGGUGAAAGCAGGGGAUCUUCGGACCUUGCGCGAUUGAAUGAGCCGAUGUCGGAUUAGCUAGUUGGCGGGGUAAAGGCCCACCAAGGCGACGAUCCGUAGCUGGUCUGAGAGGAUGAUCAGCCACACUGGAACUGAGACACGGUCCAGACUCCUACGGGAGGCAGCAGUGGGGAAUAUUGGACAAUGGGCGCAAGCCUGAUCCAGCCAUACCGCGUGGGUGAAGAAGGCCUUCGGGUUGUAAAGCCCUUUUGUUGGGAAAGAAAAGCAGCAGGUUAAUACCCCGCUGUUCUGACGGUACCCAAAGAAUAAGCACCGGCUAACUUCGU